CGGAUCCCACUCUCCUCUCCGUCGUCCCCCAGCUCUGCACGCCGUGCACUGAUUUGUCGCGGCGAUCGUGUCAGUGUGAGCAGGUGCAGAGCUGCAGGACAUGCGCCAAGCAGCUCGCUUCGGAG
rnacentral:precursor_RNA from 7 species